UGCAGUCGAGCGGUAGCACAGAGAGCUUGCUCUCGGGUGACGAGCGGCGGACGGGUGAGUAAUGUCUGGGAAACUGCCUGAUGGAGGGGGAUAACUACUGGAAACGGUAGCUAAUACCGCAUAAUGUCGCAAGACCAAAGUGGGGGACCUUCGGGCCUCUUGCCAUCAGAUGUGCCCAGAUGGGAUUAGCUAGUAGGUGGGGUAACGGCUCACCUAGGCGACGAUCCCUAGCUGGUCUGAGAGGAUGACCAGCCACACUGGAACUGAGACACGGUCCAGACUCCUACGGGAGGCAGCAGUGGGGAAUAUUGCACAAUGGGCGCAAGCCUGAUGCAGCCAUGCCGCGUGUGUGAAGAAGGCCUUCGGGUUGUAAAGCACUUUCAGCGGGGAGGAAGGCGAUAAGGUUAAUAACCUUGUCGAUUGACGUUACCCGCAGAAGAAGCACCGGCUAACUCCGUGCCAGCAGCCGCGGUAAUACGGAGGGUGCAAGCGUUAAUCGGAAUUACUGGGCGUAAAGCGCACGCAGGCGGUCUGUCAAGUCGGAUGUGAAAUCCCCGGGCUCAACCUGGGAACUGCAUUCGAAACUGGCAGGCUAGAGUCUUGUAGAGGGGGGUAGAAUUCCAGGUGUAGCGGUGAAAUGCGUAGAGAUCUGGAGGAAUACCGGUGGCGAAGGCGGCCCCCUGGACAAAGACUGACGCUCAGGUGCGAAAGCGUGGGGAGCAAACAGGAUUAGAUACCCUGGUAGUCCACGCCGUAAACGAUGUCGAUUUGGAGGUUGUGCCCUUGAGGCGUGGCUUCCGGAGCUAACGCGUUAAAUCGACCGCCUGGGGAGUACGGCCGCAAGGUUAAAACUCAAAUGAAUUGACGGGGGCCCGCACAAGCGGUGGAGCAUGUGGUUUAAUUCGAUGCAACGCGAAGAACCUUACCUGGUCUUGACAUCCACAGAACUUAGCAGAGAUGCUUUGGUGCCUUCGGGAACUGUGAGACAGGUGCUGCAUGGCUGUCGUCAGCUCGUGUUGUGAAAUGUUGGGUUAAGUCCCGCAACGAGCGCAACCCUUAUCCUUUGUUGCCAGCGGUUAGGCCGGGAACUCAAAGGAGACUGCCAGUGAUAAACUGGAGGAAGGUGGGGAUGACGUCAAGUCAUCAUGGCCCUUACGACCAGGGCUACACACGUGCUACAAUGGCAUAUACAAAGAGAAGCGACCUCGCGAGAGCAAGCGGACCUCAUAAAGUAUGUCGUAGUCCGGAUUGGAGUCUGCAACUCGACUCCAUGAAGUCGGAAUCGCUAGUAAUCGUAGAUCAGAAUGCUACGGUGAAUACGUUCCCGGGCCUUGUACACACCGCCCGUCACACCAUGGGAGUGGGUUGCAAAAGAAGUAGGUAGCUUAACCUUCGGGAGGGCGCUACC
rnacentral:rRNA from 1 species